UGUUCUCUGCUUACUCACCUGUAUUAAUAAACUGCUGCAGAUGGAUCUAACUGACUCCGCCGUUUCAUCACAGAAAACUUCACCAACUCAAGAUCCAGCAGAGUUUCGUCACCUCGCCAAUGAGGUUUCAUCCCAGGCAGCGGUGCUCGCUUCACAUCAGCGGCAGCUGACCCGCAGUCACCCCCAGGAGAGAGGAGGGUCAGGAGGGGAACACACAGGUGCAGAAUCCUCCCAUUGAGGUUGGCGGUGCGGAGGCCUACCGGGUGCGAGCAGUACUGGACUCCAGACGACGUGGUGGGGCUUUACAGUACCUUAUUGACUGGGAGGGGUACGGUCCAGAGGAACGGUCCUGGGUCAGGUCGCAGGACAUUCUGGACCCCUCUCUACUUACCAGCUUUCAUCGUGACCAUCCUGACCGACCUGCUCCCAGACCCCGAGGAAGACCCCACCGACGUUCUGGUCCUCGCUUCCGGAGCCGCUCGCAGGGGAGGGGCUAUGUCAUGGAACGUUCUGCUACGCCCUCUUCUGGCGGUAUCAGAUCCCUCUCUCCUGAAUAUUAGGACUGCAUUUCCCAGUGUCCCUCUCCCCAAUCAUCCCCGUCUAACCCUGCUUAAUUAUCUUGAUUACCUUCUAGUAUUUUCACCUGCACCUUGUGUUCUCCCCUUUAUAUUGACUGCUAUUCCCUUUUAUAUUUUGUGAAGUUUUGAUUUACCCCUGGUCUGUAUUGUUAGUAUCUCUGAUCGUUGUUACCCUAUUGAGGAGUUUAUCUAAGUUCUCUACGAACGUCUGCUUAAGUUCCUUUUCAUUGCCAGCCUGAGUUUAUGUCAGCUGUUCUCUGCUUACUCACCUGUAUUAAUAAACUGCUGCAGAUGGA